GACGAACGCUGGCGGCGUGCUUAACACAUGCAAGUCGAACGGACAGGCCCUGCUUUUGCGGGGUGCUCGAGAGGCGAACGGGUGAGUAAAACGUGAGUAACCUGCCCCUGACUUUGGGAUAAAAUUAGGAAACUGGGGCUCAUAUCGGAUAGGAGAUCCUGCUGCAUGGUGGGGGUUGGUAAGUUUCGGCGGUUGGGGAUGGAUUAGCGGCUUAUCCGCUGGUUGGUGGGGUAGUGGCUUACCAAGGCUUUGACGGGUAGGCGGCCUGAGAGGGGGAACGGCGACCUUGGGCCUGAGAGACGGCCCAGACGCCUACGGGAGGCAGCAGUGGGGAAUAUUGCACAAUGGGCGGAAGCCUGAGGCGGCAGCGCUGCGUUCGGGAAAACGGCCUACGAGGGGUAAACCGCUUUCGCCGGAGACGAAGCGGGAGUGACGGUAAUGAGUAAAGAAGCACCGGCUAACUACGUG
rnacentral:rRNA from 1 species